rnacentral:tRNA from 1 species
CGCGGGGUAGAGCAGCUAGGUAGCUCGUCGGGCUCAUAACCCGGAGGUCGCAGGUUCGAAUCCUGCCCCCGCUA